GCUGGGAGGCGAUGGCGGAACUUUCGUUGCAGCACCUGGGAUGGACCGCGGUAGACCGGGACUCCGGGCGGCCUGGGAACUUCCUGAGAGGAGUGGGUUUGUGACCUAGAGUGCGGGAGAAGGAAGUCCCGGGGUCCCCCUGGCCCAGUCCUGUGUCGGGGAGCAGGUGCUCCGGGCCAGGAUGCGUGGAGAUCGUGUACCCAACUCCACCUGCAGCCUUACCGGAGAAAAACCCGUGUCCGCGGCGGGAGGGAAAAGCAUGUUUAUGACGCAGCCGGCGAGCAUGCCAGAAAGCAUGGCAGUAGGUAUGCGGUGGAGCCCGAGCUCUGGAACCAGAAAGACCCAGGAGUCCUUGUUCUCAAAUUCUGAGACUCAAGUCUAACUCUCAGGUAGCUACCACCAUCAACUUUUAUCCUCUGACUUGGAUCUCACCAGGAUACCACAUAUUCAGUCAUCAUGCCUUCUUAGGUUCCUCCUGGCUGUGAUAGUAUCUCAGACUUCCAUUGUUUAUAAUGACCUUAACAGCUUUGAGUACUAGUCAGGUAUUUUAGAAAAUGUACUUUGAUGGCAGUUUGUUUUUCUGAUGAUUAGGCUGGAGUUAUAAGUUUGGGGGAGGAAAACUACAGAAGUAAAGUACCAUUCUCAUUACAUAGUAUCAAGAAUAUGUGCUAUCAACUUGACUUAUCACUAUUGAUGUUGACCUUGAUCAUCCAGCUGAGAUAGUGUUUUUCAGCUUCCUCCAUAAUAAAGCCAUUUUCCCUGCCCUCCUCUCCCCCCCAUACUGGGCUCUUUGGUAAGAAGUCAUUAUGCCCACAUUUAAGGAAUGGGAGUUAUGCUCCACCUGCUUGAGGGCCUAAUUUCCUUCUAAAAUGUUUUUUCAUAUUGAAUACAUAGAAAUAAGGUGAGGAAAAAAAAGCUAUUGAGUGAUUAGUUGCGAAGUCCAUCAUGACAUCUGAUAUUUAAAAAUUUUUUAUCUCUAUACAUACAUGUAUAUUAAGUGAUUAUGUAUAUAAAUACAAACCUGUAUUAAAAAUAAUGUAUAUAAUAUGAUCGUCUUUAUUGAGGGUGAAGAUUUUUAGGUUGUAUUGUGGCAAUGGGCCCUAGACAAAGACCUUCCCAGACCAUGUGGUCACUGAGGAUU